AUGAACGCUGGCGGCGUGCCUAAUACAUGCCAGUCGAGCGAACAGAUAAGGAGCUUGCUCCUUUGACGUUAGCGGCGGACGGGUGAGUAACACGUGGAUAACCUACCUAUAAGACUGGGAUAACUUCGGGAAACCGGAGCUAAUACCGGAUAACAUAUUGAACCGCAUGGUUCAAUAGUGAAAGGCGGCUUUGCUGUCACUUAUAGAUGGAUCCGCGCCGUAUUAGCUAGUUGGUAAGGUAACGGCUUACCAAGGCAACGAUACGUAGCCGACCUGAGAGGGUGAUCGGCCACACUGGAACUGAGACACGGUCCAGACUCCUACGGGAGGCAGCAGUAGGGAAUCUUCCGCAAUGGGCGAAAGCCUGACGGAGCAACGCCGCGUGAGUGAUGAAGGUCUUCGGAUCGUAAAACUCUGUUAUCAGGGAAGAACAAAUGUGUAAGUAACUGUGCACAUCUUGACGGUACCUGAUCAGAAAGCCACGGCUAACUACGUG
rnacentral:rRNA from 1 species